UUAAGCAGUUGUAGCUGAAAAAAAAGCAGAUUUAUAGACAGAAUAAUGCUUGAAAAUUAAGCGAACAUUAAUUAUAUGUUUAUCAAAUGUAUUUUUAUUUAGAUCAGACACAUUUUAAUCUUGAAAAGUGAAAGUAGAAUAAACUAGAGUAAAGCUCGUUGCAAAGUAACGAGCAGGUAUUCCAUAAAACUUAAAGCAGCAAGUCGAAAGUUUUAUAUAAUUUUGUUGUUGUUGUUGUUGAUAUAUCAAAACUGAAAAUUAAAUUGAUUGUUUAAAAUGUUACUUAUUAUGCAACAAGUUGCUAAAAUGUUCAGUCGGUUACUUAAUAUAUAUUAAGUGAGUAUGCUAAUUAACACACUUUAUUUUCAGACAGGUCACAGAAGACAUAAACUAACCCAGUGGAUAGCAGGGAUAUGUCUCUAUAAACUGUUUAUGCAGUUAAAAUGGCUAUAGUACAAAGGCUACCAAUAUUUGGUCGGUCAGGAAGUCCGAAGACAUGGAGUAAUGAAUUUUUCAAGAUCCAUACAUUCUUCUUGAGUUCAUAGACAGUUCUACACUGCAGCUGGUAUAAAAGUGACAAAUUAUGACAGAACCCAGUCCACACAUGAAUUGCUAAGGUCAAUGCACUGAAAAGAAGGAAGUUGAAGUUAGAUCGACAUAGAGAUGGCUAGUUUUUUAGCUGUUCCACUCUACAAUGGACUAAUUUGAGACCCUCUCCCCCUGGAUGGCCUGUGCAAUUAAUUCAGACAAUUCACUCCACCAGGAAAGAGUCCUGUGGACAUGAGGAGAAAGAAGAUGACAUUAGCACUUAGGUUAUUCCUAACAAAGAAAAAGUUUACCGAAUGUUAGAAGUUCUGGCCAGAGUUUAAAGAGUUCUAUGUAUUAAUAAAAAAGACAACAGACGAAACAUCUGGGAGCUUCUGCAGAAAAAAGAAGAAAGAGGAAUUAAAGGUUACCAAGAGGAACAAUGAAGAGAGAAAUGAAUUGUUACAUGGCAAUGAAGAAUAAACUCCUGAGAACAAAUUAA